rnacentral:misc_RNA from 1 species
GAUGAAGAACGUAGCGAAAUGCGAUAAGUAAUGUGAAUUGCAGAAUUCAGUGAAUCAUCGAAUCUUUGAACGCACAUUGCGCCCGCUAGUAUUCUGGCGGGCAUGCCUGUCCGAGCGUCAUUUCAACCCUCAAGCCCCCGGGCUUGGUGUUGGGGAUCGGCGAGCCUCCGCGCCCGCCGUCCCCUAAAUCUAGUGGCGGUCUCGCUGUAGCUUCCUCUGCGUAGUAGCACACCUCGCACUGGGAAACAGCGCGGCCACGCCGUUAACCCCCAACUUCUGAACGUUUGACCUCGGAUCAGGUAGGAAUACCCGCUGAACUUAAGCAUAUCAAUAAGCGGAGGA